UGUAGGCUGGGACUAUGUAAACCUUUCC
rnacentral:piRNA from 1 species